AUGAGGACCUUUUGGCCAAGAUCUUUGAAGACUUGCGCAACACUGGUGAAGACCAUUGGUCUCCUGCUAAUGGUAGCUUGCCUCAAAGUCCUUAGAAUGUUGAUGCUGAAGACCACAGAGAUGAGAACCAGGACAAAGAAAGUGAGGACGAAGAUGAGUCGCCAAUUAAUAAUAAUAAAGGAAAAAGAGCAGGUGGUCCUAUAG
rnacentral:rRNA from 1 species